rnacentral:rRNA from 1 species
AUUGAACGCUGGCGGCAGGACUAACACAUGCACGUCGAACGAGUGGCGGACGGGUGAGUAAUGUCUGGGAAACUGCCUGAUGGAGGGGGAUAACUACUGGAAACGGUAGCUAAUACCGCAUACCAUCAGAUGUGCCCAGAUGGGAUUAGCUAGUUGGUGGGGUAACGGCUCACCAAGGCGACGAUCCCUAGCUGGUCUGAGAGGAGGACCAGCAACACUGUAGAUGAGACACGUGACAGACUCAUACGUGAGGCAGCAGUGGGGAAUAUUACACAAGGGGCGCAAGCCUGAGGCAGGCAUGCCGCGUGUAUGAAGAAGGCCUUCGGGUUGUAAAGUACUUUCAGCGGGGAGGCGUUACCCGCAGAAGAAGCAACGGCUAACGCCGUGCCAGCAGCCGCGGUAAUA